rfam:Vigna angularis cultivar Jingnong 6 chromosome 3, whole genome shotgun sequence.
AUUUGUAGGUGGCUUUUUAAGUUUGUCGUCAAAUUUCAGGACUCAAGUAAAACUAUCAAGCUGGAGUCCGAUAAGAAUAGAGGAAAUUUUUGAUAGAGCAGUGAAAUACAUAGAGAUUAGAAAGAACACCAACGACAAAAGCACAUUCUACUGGACUGACACUGACACUAAAAAUGAAAGGUAGGGAAGCGAACGAGAUUAGAUACUUCAGUGGUCUAGCCAUAAACCAUGGAUACUAGGCGUUCUGCUAUAUCACAUGAAUAUGAAUGUAGAUGUGUCU